rnacentral:rRNA from 1 species
GACGUAGGGCGCGAGCGUUGUCCGGAUUUAUUGGGCGUAAAGAGCUCGUAGGCGGCUUGUCGCGUCGACCGUGAAACCUCACAGCUCAACUGUGAGCCUGCGGUCGAUACGGGCAGGCUAGAGUUCGGUAGGGGAGACUGGAGUUCCUGGUGUAGCGGUGAAAUGCGCAGAUAUCAGGAGGAACACCGGUGGCGAAGGCGGGUCUCUGGGGCCGAUACUGACGCUGAGGAGCGAAAGCGUGGGGAGCGAACAGG